ensembl:lncRNA novel transcript
ACUUCCCACCUGACUCACCCUUGGCAGGUGUGGUAUUCAUGCUGAUAGUGCAUGCUGAGUGCAGCCUUCUGGGCCAAGUGGGCAGAACAAGCCCUGUGGACCCAAGCCAAACUAGCGCAAAGGUGCCACUGGCCAUGGAGGUUUCUGGCUGGAAAAGUAAAACCCUAAGGACCCUAUGACAAUGGCAUCUCAUUGUGGUUUUGAUUUGCAUUUCUCUGAUGAUUAGUGAUGUGGAGCAUUUUUUAUAUGUUCUCUGACUCCUUGUAUGUUUUCCUUUGAGAAUGUUUGUUCAUAUUCUUUGCCCAUUUUUUAAUGGGGUAAAUUGAUUUUUGCUUGGUGAUUUUUUUAAGUUUCUUAUAGAUUCUAAAUAUUAGCAAAGUCUAACUUUUGAUUGGUAGAAAAACCAAGAAGCUGCGCUGAAACCAGGGAUUUUAGUAGUUAGCCAUCCAAAGCAAAUAACAGUAAAUCCUGUUCAAAAGUCUGAGGAAUCACUGAGAAUUUGCAUAUUAUGGAGUCUACAGAUUUCACUGAAUCAGAUGACUGAGUUGAACUUGAGAUGUGAUCCAAAAAAGAAAGCUUCUGUAAAAUUCCUGAAAGCUCUUUGGCAGCGCAUUUCACUGUAGUGGGCAUCUACACAUCUGAGAAAAUUUUGAUAAUGGGAACAUGAAAGGGGAUGAUAGAGAAACAAUGACACUCAGCAGAAGUAAAAGCUCUUAACACCUCUCAUUUCAGCUUUAUGAAGUGAAAAGUACAAUACAUACUCCCAAGAUCAUUCUGUCCUUUACUGGUAAACGACACUUGGUGCCAAUAAAUCUAUGGAGAAAUUAUCAACUUUUGUUCCUACAUCAUACAAAAAUAUAGAUUUCCCCAUAAUGUGACAAUCGUAUUUUUUCAAAAAAAAAUUAAUGAUGCAUUGCAUGGUAGCAAUUAGACCUAGAAAAGACAACGUGAACUUGGUGAAAUACAAGGAACAAGAUGACACAAACAAAUCCUUUUGAAUAUUUGGUGUAUAUUCUACCCAAUAAACACACAUAUCCUCCCCUAUCUUAUUUGUUCAAUUCCCUUCUCUCCCUCAGUUGAAGCAAUUGAAAGGAAAAUCUUAUUCUUAGCCACUAUUUAGCAUUCUCAGUAAUUAUUCACAUUAGUUUCUGCUUAGUAUCUGAAGCUUACAUUCCCCAGAUGAUUAUUUCUUGCUGCUUAUGAUAAGAUAUAAACUGGGUUCACAUGAACAAGAAUUAUUAUUUAAUAAAUACUUAAUCUGUUUAAAUAAACCUAUAUUUUUAUCAGUAACAUCUCUCAAAAAUAUUGUUUGGAAAGAGAUCACCACUCUGGGGUGAAGAGAAGGGUGGAGAUUUAAAUAUUAAAUCUCCUAUGACAUAAUUCUAAUAUAUUUUGAUAGAGGCAUGCCCUACUGUUGUGAGUGUUACUUUAUGAAUAAACUGGGACCCAAAGAGAUUUGGUAAUCAAAUAGUCAAUAAAUGUAAUAUUCCAUGUAUAUGUGAAAUUGUAUAAUUGAGCUUCAAACCUAUUAAAAACUAAAGUGUUCAUUUAUAUUCAUAAUUAGGGCAUGAAAUAUGGAACAUAAGAGAAUUUGUUCUUUGGUGGUGUGUGUCUUCAUCCAUUCAGACUGCUAUAUAACAAAACACCAUAAACUGGGCAGCUUACAAAUAACAGAAAUUUGUUUCUUACAGUUCUGGAUACUGCGAGGUCCAUGCUCAAGGUGCCGGCAGACUCUGUCUGGCAAGGGCUCACUUUCUGGUUCAUAGAUGCUGUCUUCUAAUUGGGUUUUCACAUGGUGGAAUAGGGUCAAGGCAGCUCUCUGGGGCCCCGUUUAUAAGGGCACUAAUCCCAUGUCAGAAUGAUUUCCUAACAACCCCACCUCCUAAUGCCAUCUCAUUUGUGACUAAAUUUAUACAUGUGAAUUUUGGGGGGACACAGCAUUCAGACCACAGCACUGUGCUAAUUUACUCUGUAAAUGAGGAGCAAGAUAGGAACAAGAGAUGUUUCAAAGCAGCUCUCCACAAUCAACAGCCAUGCAUUCUCUCUUCACAUAUCUGACUUUUAACCUCUCAGAGACAUGUUUUCUCAUAGAAGAAUAAAGUUUUCUAUGGUAGCUGAAACUUUUCUCUGCGUGUCUCAGCUCAGGUUAUGUUGCCUAAUUUAAAUCACGAGAAAUAUGACCUCAGCUCAUGCCUUCUAUAGAACAAGUUAGCACACCAAGAACACAUUCCCUUCUGCUGUAUCUCUUAUGCCCUGACUAUGAAUAUAAAUGAGCACAGCUUGUGUUUAAAUGCAUUUUACAUCCUAUUAUAAAUAUCACACACAUUUGAAAUGUAGCAUUCAUGGACUAUUUGAUCAUCAAACACUCUGGAUUUCAGUCUAUUUAUAAAUUACACCCAUUACUGUGGAACAUGUCAUUAGUAAAACAUAUUAGAAUGAUAAGAUGAGAGAUGCAUUCUUUACUAUUGCAUGCCUCCUCUGCCCUCCCUGUGGUGGUAGUCUCUUUCCACAUAAUCAUUUUCUUUAACAGAUGUUACUGUUAGUAGUUUGCAGAUGUAAAUUAUGUUGAAACAUUAACAUCUUUGGAAUCUUGGACUAAUGUCCCUGACUCUGUGAAAUAAUCUAUGUUAAUAAUAAACUCCUUCAUAAGUCUAGUACCACCACAGAAUUCUUCCCAUACAUUUCCUUCUCUUGACUACCCUGACCACCAUGCCUAGCCUGGUUCUCUCCCACCAUGCAUCAUGUCAGAUUCUAAGAAAAUUUUCUCAGACUUCAAGAAUCACUGAGUUUCCUCUAUCACGUUUUCCUCAUAGGAUCUUUAUCCUUUUCUUUACAUUAUUUAUUUUAUCCAGUGUUUUUGUUUGCUUAUGUAUUUUCAAAUUAAUUGAAAAACCUAAAAGAACACAAGCAAACGAUUAAGUAUGUUUUGGGUUCUGUUGUACUUGUUUGUAGAGUUCAGUGUUUUUCUGGGAGCUCAACAUAUGAGUACAUUUUACCUAAUUUAGAACACAAUCUUAUCCUUGAUUCAGAGAUAAGAUUAUAUAAACAAAUAGGACAAAAGGAGCUGCUAUUAAAAAGUUCAAGAUUUGAUGUCCCUCUAAGGGGACACAGCAAUAAAGACAAUUUACAGCAUGUACUUUUCACCAAAACAUUUUUUAGUUGACAUUUUUCUGCAAAACUACACAUUUAUUUGUACUCUUUUGGACAACCUUGAGUUGAAAAUUUCAAAGUAAAAAGAGCCAACUUGUAGCUACUAAAAAGUGGAGGAGGACUUCGCUACCAAUUUAGCUUUGGUGAUGGCCAUAAGUUAGCUUGAGAGAUGGAAGAAUAAGGUGAUUCAGCAGAGGGCUUUUUCUGCAACUACCCCUUCUUAGAUAGCCUUUCUACUCUACUUCAGUAGCAUGCCCAAUUGCCCUCCACCAAACAUAAGGCCCAAGAAAAAUCAUCCCAAUUCACAAUGCCUCAAAACACAUAUUUUAAUAUAGGAUAUGCUGUUUCUAUACUGUGUCUCAGAAUGUACUCUUGCAUUAUAUUUGCUACUGAUAAAAUAGCACCCUCAAUGUAUACAAAGACAAAACACUUGAAUACUAUCCAGUUAUUAUGGCUGUUCUGUUGAUGAAUUUCAGCUUCACUCCUGUGGCUAUAAACUUUCAGUGCCUCAUAGUUUUAACAGAGAAACAAUGGCCUGAGUCAAACUAUUAUUUUUUUUCAGAAAUAACAUAUAAGGCAUAUUAAAUAUUUAUCUUGUCACCAUAAAAUAACAACCAAGAAUUUAAAACAAUACAAAUUACUUUUUUAGACAGAAGACUGCAAACACAAUAUGUCUCAAAAUAUUUUACAACACUAUUAGUAACUGAUCAGGAGUCUUUAUAUCUUAUCAUCUAAUGGCCUUUAAUAACAAUGCACAUAAUUGAUCAAGCAUUGAAGAUUCAAUUACUUUUCAGACAGAUAUGCAUGUGACAACCAUACGUUUAUUUGAUUUUCCUUCAGAGAGAAAUGGCAUUUUGAAACUCAAAUAUUCAUAUAU